rnacentral:rRNA from 1 species
GACGAACGCUGGCGGCGUGCUUAACACAUGCAAGUCGAGCGGUAAGGCCCUUUCGGGGUACGACGAGCGGCGAACGGGUGAGUAACACGUGGGUGACCUGCCUCUAGCUCUGGGAUAAAGCCUGGGAAGGCUGGGUCUAAUACCGGAUAUGACCUCGCGGUGCAUGUUGCGGGGUGGAAAGCCUUGUGCGGCUAGGGAUGGGCCCGCGGCCUAUCAGCUUGUUGGUGGGGUGAGGCCUACCAAGGCGACGACGGGUAGCCGGCCUGAGAGGGCGACCGGCCACACUGGGACUGAGACACGGCCCAGACUCCUACGGGAGGCAGCAGUGGGGAAGUCUUGCGCAAUGGGCGAAAGCCUGACGCAGCGACGCCGCGCGAGGG